rnacentral:misc_RNA from 1 species
GAUGAAGAACGCAGCGAAAUGCGAUACGUAAUGUGAAUUGCAGAAUUCAGUGAAUCAUCGAAUCUUUGAACGCACAUUGCGCCCGCCAGCAUUCUGGCGGGCAUGCCUGUUCGAGCGUCAUUUCAACCCUCGACCUCCCCUUGGGGAGGUCGGCGUUGGGGACCGGCAGCACACCGCCGGCCCUGAAAUGGAGUGGCGGCCCGUCCGCGGCGACCUCUGCGCAGUAAUACAGCUCGCACCGGGACCCCGACGCGGCCACGCCGUAAAACACCCAACUUCUGAACGUUGACCUCGAAUCAGGUAGGACUACCCGCUGAACUUAAGCAUAUCAAUAAGCGGAGGA